AUUGAACGCUGGCGGCAGGCCUAACACAUGCAAGUCGAGCGGAUGAAGGGAGCUUGCUCCUGGAUUCAGCGGCGGACGGGUGAGUAAUGCCUAGGAAUCUGCCUGGUAGUGGGGGAUAACGUCCGGAAACGGGCGCUAAUACCGCAUACGUCCUGAGGGAGAAAGUGGGGGAUCUUCGGACCUCACGCUAUCAGAUGAGCCUAGGUCGGAUUAGCUAGUUGGUGGGGUAAAGGCCUACCAAGGCGACGAUCCGUAACUGGUCUGAGAGGAUGAUCAGUCACACUGGAACUGAGACACGGUCCAGACUCCUUAGGGAAGCAGCAGUGGGGAAUAUUGGACAAUGGGCGAAAGCCUGAUCCAGCCAUGCCGCGUGUGUGAAGAAGGUCUUCGGAUUGUAAAGCACUUUAAGUUGGGAGGAAGGGCAGUAAGUUAAUACCUUGCUGUUUUGACGUUACCAACAGAAUAAGCACCGGCUAACUUCGUG
rnacentral:rRNA from 1 species